ensembl:snRNA U6 U6 spliceosomal RNA
GUGCUCACUUCAGCAACAUAUAUACUAAAAUUGGAACAACACAGAGAAGAUUAGCAUGGCCACUGCACAAGAAUGACAUGCAAAUUCAUGAAGUGUUCCAUAUUUUU